GAUGAACGCUGGCGGCGUGCCUAAUACAUGCAAGUCGAGCGAACAGACGAGGAGCUUGCUCCUCUGUCGUUAGCGGCGGACGGGUGAGUAACACGUGGAUAACCUACCUAUAAGACUGGGAUAACUUCGGGAAACCGGAGCUAAUACCGGAUAAUAUACUGAACCGCAUGGUUCAAUAGUGAAAGACGGUUUUGCUGUCACUUAUAGCUGGAUCCGCGCCGCAUUAGCUAGUUGGUAAGGUAACGGCUUACCAAGGCGACGAUGCGUAGCCGACCUGAGAGGGGGAUCGGCCACACGGGAACUGGGACACGGUCCAGACGCCUGAGGGAGGCAGCAGUAGGGAAUCGUCCGCAAUGGGCGAAAGUCUGACGGAGCAACGCCGCGUGAGUGAUGAAGGUCUUCGGAUCGUAAAACUCUGUUAUGAGGGAAAAACAAAUGUGUAAGUAACUAUGCACGGCUUGACGGUACCGAAUCAGAAAGCCACGGCUAACUACGUG
rnacentral:rRNA from 1 species